rnacentral:lncRNA from 1 species
CUUUAUCUUUUUAUUUAUUUAGUUUAUAUUUUAACAACAGUUUAUUUUUUAACCAACUUCACUUUCCGUUCCCUAUCCUUGAUUGGUCGAUUAGGUUUGUAAUAGUUUUGUUGUAUGGUAGGCAUAGUUAGGCAUUCAUUUUAAGAAAUGUUGCUGGCUAAAUGGCCACAGCUCCCAAAGGCCAUAAAAUAAAGAAGAAGAAAAACAAUAAACAAACAAAAAUCUUACAUAACCUUCUAUACGAAAACAUGACUUUGACGUUUAUAAUACAGAUAGUUAUCUUUGUUUCACACUCUUAAAGACAAAGAGAAACAGUGUAACCGAUAGUUGCUAUUGUAAAUACAUAUGUUUUUUAUUUGGCAACAGGCUGUCCUGCUAAACUUAACGGUAGCGAAAAAACUAAUAUAUGAGGAAAAUUUUGUUGAAUUUGUUUACCGUCUAGUUUGUUCCUGUGGGUUAUGAUGUCAUUUAAUCUAUGACGAGCAUUCCUAAUUGUUUGACUUUUAGUUUAGACUCCUUAGUACGUGGGACCAAGCUUUUGUUAGAAUUUUUGCCACGCUGAGCAGACAGGAAGUAAGAUGCAAUUCUUAGAUCUCCCCUAGCCUUCUUUGCCUCAGUAUUCACAUGGUUUGCAAAUUAUAGAAACCGCGAAGGCGUUUACCAGAAACUGGGUCCCAAUAAAAGCUUCAUUUUAAUAUUACUUUUAAUUUCAUUCAGGUAAAACUUUAGCUUGUUUUCUGUAAUUCGAUACUAGCAGUCGGGUUUGUUUUAGUUCAUUCAGAGAAAGUCAUCUGUACACUCUCUGAUGAAAGCUAAUGAGCUUGAAACCGGUAAGGGUGUUGUUGGCGCUCUCUGAAUGAAUUGAAAUAUAAGACGUCUCUAGUUUUCGUUUUUACAGCAGAACUAUUAUUUACAUUUUUUUUAUUUUUGUAAUUGAAUCAUAAAAACCUAAUACUAGAUCAUAAAACUAAUAGUAUACCCAUGAUUUUGGUAUAGUACCUAUAGUUUCAAAAUUGUUGGCACUAAAUUCCAAGAAAGAAAGAAAUGGUCAGCGUCAUUCUUGGUUUUCCAGUGGCGUACAAAUUGUUUUUGUAAGAGUUUGUAUUGAAUGAUUUUUACAAAUUAUAAAAUAUUAUAGAGUCUAUUUUUAUCUAUUUUGGCCAUUUAUUUUCAGGCAUUCUCGACAGGUGUCCAUACUAGUUUAGUUAUUUAGCUUAAAUUGUGUCUAUUGCGUCUAGAUCAAUAUCCAUUUCUCUAUGAAAUCUUCAUUCCUUACCCUAUCAAGUCUAGUGAGUCGGCAACAUAAUCUUCAAUAGUUCAUUUCCAUGGCCCUAAUUUUUGAUUUGCUUCUUUCAUUUAUUUCGCAGAGCUCGUCGCCGUACUACAUUACUGUUUUAUAAAUCCUUUUUUAUUUUAUUUAUGUUAACCCAUUCGCUGCCUAUCUAAGAGAAUGGAACUCAGCCAGGAGCCAUUCUGUUGAACGGCACCUGACUGAAGUAACCAUAUCACGCGCUGGCGCGUGAUCGGCAGUGAAUGGCUUAAUAGUCCAUGUAACUGUCUAGUGGCUGAUCUUACUUGGACAAUCCUGGGAUAUACUUCUUUGUUACUCCCUGCUUUUGAUGUUAGUUGGGUAUUUGUAGGUUUCAGUUGGUUUUAUAGUUCCCAUUUCAAUCUGUAGGCUUUUUGGUUUUUCUCCUGCAACUAAGUACCAGGUUGAAUAUUUGUGGCUAAUGGCCAGGCUUAUGGCUAAUGGCUUAUUCCUCAGCGAUGUGUAUCGUGUACAAUUCCUCGUCUUAGAUUGGGAUGCUCAUAUUGCAUCACUUUAUUCUCCGAGCGCCUAAUUCAGAUAUAUUUUGAAGAUUGUAGAUGAUAUGCAGCAGCCUUGCUUUAGAACCUUGCCAAUAUGAAUUUCUCUAGUUAUUUUUUUUAGUUUAAUGUUUACCGUCACAUUUUUGUAAAGCUGUUGUACUGUUUUUAUAUACUUUUAUUAUUUUUUGAUUUUUCCCUGCUACUCAGAGUAUUGAAAGUAGUACAGUAUCGUAUGUCUUUGUCAGAUAUACAGGAUGUAACAAAAAUACAGGUGAUAAAUUAAAUCGCAUAUUCUGGGACCAAAAAUAGUUCGA